GUAGGUGAUGGACAACAGGUUGAUAUUCCUGUACUACCGAUAACCGUUUGAGAGAUGGGAUGACACAGUAGGAUAAGCUAAGCACACUGUUGGUUAUGUGUGCCCAAGCAUUGAGGCAGUCAAAGUAGGCAAAUCCGCUUUGAUAAUGCUGGGAUGUGAUGGGGAGCGAAAUUUAGUAGCGAAGUAGCUGAUUUCACACUGUCAAGAAAAGUCUCUAUCGAGGUUAAAGGUACCCGUACCGCAAACCGACACAGGUGGGUGAGGAGAGUAUCCUAAGGCCAGCGAGAGAACUGUUGUUAAGGAACUCGGCAAAAUGACCCCGUAACUUAGGGAUAAGGGGUGCCACCAUCAGGUGGCCGCAGAGAAUAGGCCCAAGCGACUGUUUACCAAAAACAUAGGUUUCUGCUAAGUCGCAAGACGAUGUAUAGGAGCUGACGCCUGCCCGGUGCUGGAAGGUUAAGGGGAUCUGUUAGAGCAAUCGAAGCAGUGAACUUAAGCCCCAGUAAACGGCGGCCGUAACUAUAACGGUCCUAAGGUAGCGAAAUUCCUUGUCGGGUAAGUUCCGACCCGCACGAAAGGCGUAACGAUUUGGGCACUGUCUCAACAACAGACUCGGUGAAAUUGUAAUUCCGGUGAAGAUGCCGGAUACCUGCGACAGGACGGAAAGACCCCAUGGAGCUUUACUGUAGCUUGACAUUGGGUCUUGGUACUACAUGUACAGGAUAGGUGGGAGGCUUUGAAACCAGGACGCCAGUUUUGGCGGAGCCAUCCUUGGGAUACCACCCUUGUAGUACUGGGACUCUAACCAUAGGCCAUGAAUCUGGUCUUGGGACACUGUCAGGUGGGCAGUUUGACUGGGGCGGUCGCCUCCCAAAAGGUAACGGAGGCGCUCAAAGGUUCUCUCAGUACGGUCGGAAAUCGUACGUAGAGUGUAAAGGCAAAAGAGAGCUUGAUUGCAAGACAUACAGGUCGAGCAAGGAUGAAAAUCGGACUUAGUGAUCCGGUGGUUCUGCGUGGAAGGGCCAUCGCUCAACGGAUAAAAGCUACCCUGGGGAUAACAGGCUUAUCUCCCCCAAGAGUCCACAUCGACGGGGAGGUUUGGCACCUCGAUGUCGGCUCAUCACAUCCUGGGGCUGUAGUAGGUCCCAAGGGUUGGGCUGUUCGCCCAUUAAAGUGGUACGCGAGCUGGGUUCAGAACGUCGUGAGACAGUUCGGUCCCUAUCCGUCGCAGGCGUAGGAAAUUUGAGAAGACCUGUCCUUAGUACGAGAGGACCGGGAUGGACGUACCUCUGGUGUACCAGUUGUCCUGCCAAGGGCAUGGCUGGGUAGCUAUGUACGGAAUGGAUAAGCGCUGAAAGCAUCUAAGCGCGAAGCCAACUUCAAGAUAAGAUUUCCCACCGCAAGGGUAAGACCCCAGAAAGACUAUCUGGUUGAUAGGUCGAAGGUGUAAGUGCAGCAAUGUAUUUAGCUUAUCGAUACUAAUAGGUCGAGGACUUGACC
rnacentral:rRNA from 1 species